UGGAAAUGCUGAGGUUGCGU
rnacentral:miRNA from 1 species